GAUUGAACGCUGGCGGCAGGCCUAACACAUGCAAGUCGAGCGUGAAAGUUCCUUCGGGAGCGAGUAGAGCGGCGGACGGGUGAGUAACGCGUAGGAAUCUGCCCAGUAGUGGGGGACAACUCGAGGAAACUCGAGCUAAUACCGCAUACGCCCUAAGGGGGAAAGCAGGGGAUCUUCGGACCUUGUGCUAUUGGAUGAGCCUGCGUCGGAUUAGCUAGUUGGUGGGGUAAUGGCCUACCAAGGCAACGAUCCGUAGCUGGUCUGAGAGGAUGAUCAGCCACACUGGGACUGAGACACGGCCCAGACUCCUACGGGAGGCAGCAGUGGGGAAUAUUGGACAAUGGGGGCAACCCUGAUCCAGCCAUGCCGCGUGUGUGAAGAAGGCCUUCGGGUUGUAAAGCACUUUCAGCAGGGAGGAAAAGCUAAUGGCUAAUAACCAUUAGCCCUGACGUUACCUGCAGAAGAAGCACCGGCAAACUCCGUGCCAGCAGCCGCGGUAAUACGGAGGGUGCGAGCGUUAAUCGGAAUUACUGGGCGUAAAGCGCGCGUAGGCGGUUUGAUUAGCUGGAUGUGAAAGCCCCGGGCUCAACCUGGGAAUUGCAUCCAGAACUGUCAGACUAGAGUACAGUAGAGGUGAGUGGAAUUUCCUGUGUAGCGGUGAAAUGCGUAGAUAUAGGAAGGAACAUCAGUGGCGAAGGCGGCUCACUGGACUGAUACUGACG
rnacentral:rRNA from 1 species